rnacentral:rRNA from 1 species
GGGAGGCAGCAUGGGGGAAUAUUGCACAAUGGGCGCAAGCCUGAUGCAGCCAUGCCGCGUGUGUGAAGAAGGCCUUCGGGUUGUAAAGCACUUUCAGUCGUGAGGAAGGUAGUGUAGUUAAUAGCUGCAUUAUUUGACGUUAGCGACAGAAGAAGCACCGGCUAACUCCGUGCCAGCAGCCGCGGUAAUACGGAGGGUGCGAGCGUUAAUCGGAAUUACUGGGCGUAAAGCGCAUGCAGGUGGUUUGUUAAGUCAGAUGUGAAAGCCCCGGGGCUCAACCUCGGAAUAGCAUUUGAAACUGGCAGACUAGAGUACUGUAGAGGGGGUAGAAUUUCAGGUGUAGCGGUGAAAUGCGUAGAGAUCUGAAGGAAUACCGGUGGCGAAGGCGGCCCCCUGGACAGAUACUGACACUCAGAUGCGAAAGCGUGGGGAGCAAACAGGAUUAGAUACCCUGGUAG